UAGGGAAUCUUCCACAAUGGACGAAAGUCUGAUGGAGCAACGCCGCGUGAGUGAAGAAGGUUUUCGGAUCGUAAAGCUCUGUUGUUGGNGAAGAAGGAUAGAGGCAGUAACUGGUCUUUAUUUGACGGUAAUCAACCAGAAAGUCACGGCUAACUACGUGCCAC
rnacentral:rRNA from 1 species